UGCAGGCUGCAACUCGCCUGCAUGAAGUUGGAAUUGCUAGUAAUCGCGAAUCAGAAUGUCGCGGUGAAUAACGUUCCCGGGCCCGUUGUACACACCGCCCGUCACACCAUGAGAGUCGAUAACACCCGAAGCCUGUGAGCUAACCUUUUAGGAGGCAGCAGUCGAAGGUGGGGUUGAUGAUUGGGGUGAAGUCGUAACAAGGUAUC
rnacentral:rRNA from 1 species